UUACAAAGAAAAGCGAAAGAGAAAAUUCUUUGUGGUCUUUGGCUAGGGAUAAGAAGUCUUAUAUGUGACAGCAAAAGUGCAGUAAUUAAAGAGAAAGUUAAUGGGCAGAUAGUAUUAAUAGUACAGAAACACUCAACCAGCCACUCUUUAAUAGAAUGCAAACUUCUUUCUGCCACAUCACAAUGACUGAAAUAUGUUCUAGACGGUAGAUCAGGUUCACGUUCUCCAUCAACCUUGAGUGCACAUUCAACAUGGAUGCUCUCUGCCUCCGGGAAUGUUUUCUGUACCAAAUAUAAUAGAAAUAGUUGGGUAGCUGUAGCCCCUGGUCUUCCUUUUCGGACAUUCGUUUACAUUCGCACCUGCCUGUAGGACGAAAUCUCAGCAUCAAAGAAAAGAGUUCAGAUGUCGCCACCUACAGGCAGAACAUGAAUUAGUUUCCAGUUACCACACCAGGAGAGGGUCAACUAAGGCAAGGAGGAGCGAAAAAUCACCAAAGCCUUGACUGUGCCGAAGCCUCGGGUUAAGCUGGGGUGAAAAUUGUAACACAAGCGAAGGAGAGGCAAAGGCAACAGUAAUGACCAAAGGAAAAGGCCAAGGAGGAAUGGAGAAAGUGUGGGAGUGAUCAAAUGUGGCUGGUUCUGCAGCAAGGGGAUGAGGGCCCAGUCUCCUGAAAUAAAAUCUCCACAAGAUUUUAAUAAAAUAAUUUGCUGAACCAUGA